AAGGUUGAGAAUAAUUUCAAAUUUUCUUCCUUCUCAUCUUCACCGUUGGAUAUUAGCUUGCUUCAAACUUGAAACCUAUUUUCAAAACAUUUCAAACCCAUUUCACUCUCCUUUCACCGCCCAAAACCCAUUUCAACCUCUUCAACAACUCCACAACUCACCUGAAUGCCUUCCCACUGAACCACCCCAACAAACCCAUCUUAAUCACUUGCUCCACCGCGCCUCCCAAUCCCAAGAUCGCGUCUUCAACUUCGCCGCUGGUCGAAUCCGAGCUCUACAAUUGGUGUGGCUCCGGCACAGAGAUUAUAGAGGAGUAACAUCCAUAAAGUAAGCACAUCCAUAAAGUGGGUCGGAAAAGGAAAAGACUAUAGUAGUAAAUGUUUGGUGAUAUGGACUAUGUGAUAUAGUCUUUGUUUGUCAUUUAUAAAAAAAUAAAAGGAGUCUUUGUUUGUCGAUUCUUAAUUUUCAACUAUUCUUUUGUUUCUAUUGAAUUUUGUUCUUCUUUACUUGCAUUUAUAUGAGUAAAAAAAAAAAAGGAAUUAUGUCAUCACCAUUUUUAGGUUUUCUUGAUGAACUUGCAGCAACUUCAUAGUGUCCAUCUUAUCACCUCUACCACUACUAAUCAUGGA